rnacentral:tRNA from 1 species
GCCCAGGUGGUUUAGUUGGUUAAGCGUCUGACUUCAGCUCAGGUCAUGAUCUCACAGUCAGUGAGUUCAAGUCCCGCAUCGGGCU